rfam:Pteropus alecto contig110243, whole genome shotgun sequence.
UGGAUAUGAUAAUUGAUUAUCUGAGAAAUAAUUGAUAAAAUCCCAAGGAAAAAAAUAUAAAAUAAUUCUUGCCUGUAGAUAGGCAGAUUUUGUCUUGUCCAC